CCUACGGGAGGCAGCAGUGAGGAAUAUUGGUCAAUGGACGAGAGUCUGAACCAGCCAAGUAGCGUGAAGGAUGACUGCCCUAUGGGUUGUAAACUUCUUUUAUAUGGGAAUAAAAUGUUCCACGUGUGGGAUUUUGUAUGUACCAUAUGAAUAAGGAUCGGCUAACUCCGUGCCAGCAGCCGCGGUAAUACGCAGGAUCCGAGCGUUAUCCGGAUUGAUUGGGUUUAAAGGGAGCGUAGGUGGAUUGUUAAGUCAGUUGUGAAAGUUUGCGGCUCAACCGUAAAAUUGCAGUUGAAACUGGCAGUCUUGAGUACAGUAGAGGUGGGCGGAAUUCGUGGUGUAGCGGUGAAAUGCUUAGAUAUCACGAAGAACUCCGAUUGCGAAGGCAGCUCACUGGACUGCAACUGACACUGAGGCUCGAAAGUGUGGGUAUCAAACAGGAUUAGAUACCCGAGUAGUC
rnacentral:rRNA from 1 species